UUUGAUAUCCUUGAUAUGAAAAAUGUGAAUGGAGACGAGCACCCCAUUAACCAGCAGCUCUUAGGCAGCAUUGCUUGUUGGAGGUAUCUUUUCACAGAGGUCGUGCUGCAGCCAUUGGAGUGGCUGGCAAGAGUGAUCACAGAAACUGUAAAGCCCUAAGCCCCUGGAAAUGGAGCGCCCUGCGGCUCUGAUUAAGGCUUGUGGAGAGGGAGCUGUAUAAUUGGAUACCCUGAAGCAAACCUCGAGCAGAAUCCUGGUUCAGGCUGAAGCCCUCAAACCAAAUACAAACAAUGGUGCCAGGAAAGGACCUUAUGUUUGGUGACUUCUCGUCUUGACACAUCACAGGACUGCUAGAGGCAGCUUUGGACUUAAGCGUUGUCCGGAACACAUAGACGGAACAGACUGAAUCGAUGAAUGGUGCCAUUUGGAGUAGCUACUUUGAGGACAAGAGACAAAAAGCCUGAGGAGAAAGUCACCAUGAAGGAAACAGAAAGAUUAAACAGCAUGCGUGAUC
rnacentral:lncRNA from 10 species